rnacentral:rRNA from 1 species
AUGGCGUGUAGCUGCGGCGGCAAGAGGCCCAGACCAGCCGUCCCCUUGCUGCUGGCGCUGCUGCUCGUCGUCUCGUGCGCGUUGUCGGUGUCGGCCAGCGGCGGCGGCGGCAGGGGCAACGGCACACGGACGGCGGAGUUCCGUUCCGGGGACGAGCUGCGAGCUUACCAGAGCAUCGUCGCCCGGAUGGACAAGAUGAAGAAGGCCUCCGUCAAGACCAUUCAGAGCGCCGACGGCGACAUCAUCCACUGCGUGCCGGCGCACCUCCAGCCGGCGUUUGACCACCCAACGUUGAGAGGCCAAAAGCCAGAGGCUGAGCCAGAGGAGAGGCCCAAGAUCAGCGCCGACGCCGCCGAGGAAGAAGGGGACGCGGUGUUCCCGCAGGCGUGGAGCGACGGCGGCGAGUCGUGCCCCGGCGGGACGGUCCCGAUACGGCGGACCACGGAGAGCGACCUGCGGCGGUACUCCGGUUCCCUCCGGCGGUACGGGAUGAAGCCCCGCGCGUCCGGCGUCCGCCGCGACUCCACCAGCGACGGCCACGAGCACGCGGUGGGGUACGUGACCGGCGACCAGUUCUACGGCGCCAAGGCGAGCCUGAACGUGUGGCCGGCCAGGGUGGCGUCGGCGGCGGAGUUCAGCCUCUCCCAGAUCUGGGUCAUCUCCGGCACCUUCGGCAACGACCUCAACACCAUCGAAGCCGGCUGGCAGGUGAGCCCUCAGCUGUAUGGCGACAACAGCCCGCGCUUCUUCACCUACUGGACGAGCGACGCGUACCAGGCGACGGGGUGCUACAACCUGCACUGCUCGGGGUUCGUGCAGACCAACCGGCGGAUCGCCAUCGGGGCGGCCAUCUCGCCGGCGUCCGCCUACAACGGCCGCCAGUUCGACAUCAGCCUGCUCAUCUGGAAGGACCCGCGCCGGGGCCACUGGUGGCUGCAGCUCGGCUCCGGCCCGCUCGUCGGCUACUGGCCCUCCUCCCUCUUCUCCCACCUGGGCGGCCACGCCAACAUGGUGCAGUUCGGCGGCGAGGUCGUCAACACGCGCCCCUCGGGCUCCCACACCCCCACGCAGAUGGGCAGCGGCCACUUCCCGCGCGAGGGAUUCAACCGCGCCGCCUACUUCCGCAACGUCCAGGUCGUGGACUGGGACAACAACCUCCUCCCCGCCAGGGACCUCCGGCUCGUCGCCGACCACCCGGCAUGCUACGGCAUCCAGGGCGGAUACAACCGCGCCUGGGGCAACUACUUCUACUACGGCGGGCCGGGCCGGAACGUGCACUGCCCCUAG